rnacentral:rRNA from 1 species
CCUACGGGAGGCAGCAGUAGGGAAUAUUGCUCAAUGGGGGAAACCCUGAAGCAGCAACGCCGCGUGGAGGAUGAAGGUUUUCGGAUUGUAAACUCCUUUUGUUAGAGAAGAUAAUGACGGUAUCUAACGAAUAAGCACCGGCUAACUCCGUGCCAGCAGCCGCGGUAAUACGGAGGGUGCAAGCGUUACCCGGAAUAACUGGGCGUAAAGAGCGCGUAGGCGGGAUAGUAAGUCAGAUGUGAAAUCCUAGGGCUUAACCAUAGAACUGCAUUUGAAACUGUUAUUCUAGAGUAUGGGAGGGGUAGGUGGAAUUCUUGGUGUAGGGGUAAAAUCCGUAGAGAUCAAGAGGAAUAUUGAUUGCGAAGGCGACCUGCUAGAACAUAACUGACGCUGAUGCGCGAAAGCGUGGGGAGCAAACAGGAUUAGAUACCCUAGUAGUC